CAGUAGCCGCGGUAAUACGAAGGUCCCGAGCGUUGUUCGGAAUCACUGGGCGUAAAGGGAGCGUAGGCGGCGUGGUAAGUCAGAUGUGAAAUCCCGGGGCUCAACCCCGGAACUGCAUCCGAUACUGCCAUGCUAGAGGAUUGGAGAGGUAGCUGGAAUUCUUGGUGUAGCAGUGAAAUGCGUGGAGAUCAAGAGGAACACUCGUGGCGAAAGCGAGCUACUGGACAAUAACUGACGCUGAGGCUCGAAGGCCAGGGUAGCGAGAGGGAUUAGAUACCCCGGUAGUCCCUGUCUCUUAUAC
rnacentral:rRNA from 1 species